rnacentral:rRNA from 1 species
UACGUAGGGGGCGAGCGUUGUCCGGAUUCAUUGGGCGUAAAGCGCGCGCAGGCGGUUGGCAGAGCCCGGCGUGAAAGCCCCCAGCUCAACUGGGGGAGGCCGUCGGAGACCUGUCGACUUGAGGCCGGUAGGGGAGAGCGGAAUUCCCGGUGUAGUGGUGGAAUGCGUAGAGAUCCGGAGGAACACCAGUGGCGAAGGCGGCUGGCUGGACCUGACCUGACGCUGAGGCGCGAAGGCGUGGGGAGCAAACAGG